AAUAAGUGCAGUUUUGCACUAUUCAUGUUCAACGUUUGACCGUCCGUCUUAUUUGAAAAUUUUUUAUGAUUAGUAUUUUUAUUGCUAUUAGAUGAUAAAACAUGAAUAGUACUUUAUGUGUGACUAAAUGUUUUUAAUUUUUUCACAAAUUUUUCAAAUAAGACGGACGGUCAAACAUUGAACGUAAAUAGUGCAAAACUGCACUUAUU
rnacentral:pre_miRNA from 1 species